GACGAACGCUGGCGGCGUGCUUAACACAUGCAAGUCGAACGAUGAAGCUAGAGCUUGCUCUGGUGAAUUAGUGGCGAACGGGUGAGUAACACGUGAGUAACCUGCCCCGAACUCUGGGAUAACUGCUGGAAACGGUAGCUAAUACUGGAUACGACCUACGAAGGCAUCUUCUGUAGGUGGAAAGAAUUUCGGUUCGGGAUGGACUCGCGGCCUAGCAGCUUGUUGGUGAGGUAAUGGCUCACCAAGGCGACGACGGGUAGCCGGCCUGAGAGGGUGACCGGCCACACUGGGACUGAGACACGGCCCAGACUCCUACGGAAGGCAGCAGUGGGGAAUAUUGCACAAUGGGCGCAAGCCUGAUGCAGCAACGCCGCGUGAGGGAUGACGGCCUUCGGGUUGUAAACCUCUUUUAGUAGGGAAGAAGCGAAAGUGACGGUACCUGCAGAAAAAGCACCGGCUAACUACGUGCCAGCAGCCGCCGUAA
rnacentral:rRNA from 1 species